rnacentral:rRNA from 1 species
UACGGAGGGUGCGAGCGUUGUUCGGAAUUACUGGGCGUAAAGGGCUCGUAGGCGGCCAACUAAGUCAUACGUGAAAUCCCUCAGCUUAACUGGGGAACUGCGUGUGAUACUGGAUGGCUUGGAUGUGGGAGAGGGAUGCGGAAUUCCAGGUGUAGCGGUGAAAUGCGUAGAUAUCUGGAGGAACACCGGUGGCGAAGGCGGCAUCCUGGACCAUUAUUGACGCUGAGGAGCGAAAGCCAGGGGAGCAAACGGG